rnacentral:rRNA from 1 species
UAGAAGUGAGAAUGCCGGUGUGAGUAGCGAGAUGUAGGUGAGAAUCCUACACACCGAAAGCCCAAGGAUUCCAGGGGAAGGUUCGUCCGCCCUGGGUAAGUCGGGACCUAACGCGAGGCCGAAAGGCGUAGUGGAUGGAAAGCAGGCGAAAGAUUCCUGCACCCGUAUAUGGAGCGAAGGAGUGACGGAGACGGAUAGUGUGACCCUCUUAAUGGAUUGAGGGCGAAGCGAAGCGGCUGGUUACCAGGUAAAUCCGGUAACCUUAAGGCUAGAGCGUGACAGGUAAGCGAAAUCUAAGGAAAGUAGCGAAGCACAUGAUGUCGGCUUCCAGGAAAAGCUUCUGGCAAUGCAUAUGCGGCCCGUACCAAAACCGACACAGGUGGGCAGGGAGAGAAUCCCGAGGUGAGCGAGAGAACUGUUGCCAAGGAACUCGGCAAAAUGACUCCGUAAGUUAGCGAGAAGGAGUGCUUAAGCAAUUAAGCCGCAGUGAAGAGGCCCAAGCGACUGUUUAACUAAAACACAGCUCUCUGCGAAGUCGCAAGACGAAGUAUAGGGGGUGACACCUGCCCGGUGCUGGAAGGUUAAGAGGAUCUGUUAAGAGCGAUCUGAAGCAGUGAUCCGAAGCCCCAGUGAACGGCGGCCGUAACCAUAACGGUCCUAAGGUAGCGAAAUUCCUUGUCAGGUAAGAUCUGACCCGCACGAAAGGUGUAACGAUUUGGGCGCUGUCUCGGCAGCAGACUCGGUGAAAUCUUAGUACCUGUGAAAAUGCAGGUUACCCGCAACUAGACGGAAAGACCCCAUGGAGCUUUACUGCAGCCUGAUAUUGAAUUCUGGUCAUACAUGUACAGGAUAGGUGGGAGACAAAGAGACGUGCACGCCAGUGUACGAGGAGUCGACGUUGGGAUACCACUCUUGUGUGACCGGGGUUCUAACCUGGUAUCGAGAACAGGUACGGGGAGAGUGUCAGGUGGGCAGUUUGACUGGGGCGGUCGCCUCCCAAAGAGUAACGGAGGCGCCCAAAGGUACGCUCAGAUUGGAUGGAAACCAAUCGACGAGUGCAAUUGCAGAAGCGUGCUUGACUGUGAGACAAACAAGUCGAACAGGGACGAAAGUCGGGAAUAGUGAUCCGGCGGUGCCGAAUGGAAGGGCCGUCGCUCAACGGAUAAAAGCUACCCUGGGGAUAACAGGCUGAUCUCGCCCAAGAGUUCACAUCGACGGCGAGGUUUGGCACCUCGAUGUCGGCUCAUCGCAUCCUGGAGCUGGAUUCGGUUCCAAGGGUUGGGCUGUCCGCCCAUUAAAGCGGUACGCGAGCUGGGUUCAGAACGUCGUGAGACAGUUCGGUCCCUAUCUGUUGUGGGCGAAGGAGAUCUGCGGAGAGCUGUCCUCAGUACGAGAGGACCGGGAUGGACCUACCGCUGGUGCACCGGUUGUUCCGCCAGGGGCAUAGCCGGGUAGCUAAGUAGGGAAAGGAUAAGCGCUGAAAGCAUCUAAGCACGAAGCCUACUCCAAGAUGAGAUCUCCCAUUCGCAAGAAGUAAGACCCCUUAAAGACGAUAAGGUAGAUAGGCCAGGGAUGGAAGUGCAGUGAUGUACGGAGUUGACUGGUACUAAUCGGUCGAGGACUUAAC